CGGGAGCUUGCUCCCUUAGGUCAGCGGCGGACGGGUGAGUAACACGUGGGUAACCUGCCUGUAAGACUGGGAUAACUCCGGGAAACCGGGGCUAAUACCGGAUGCUUGAUUGAGCCGCAUGGUUCAAUUAUAAAAGGUGGCUUUCAGCUACCACUUACAGAUGGACCCGCGGCGCAUUAGCUAGUUGGUGAGGUAACGGCUCACCAAGGCGACGAUGCGUAGCCGACCUGAGAGGGUGAUCGGCCACACUGGGACUGAGACACGGCCCAGACUCCUACGGGAGGCAGCAGUAGGGAAUCUUCCGCAAUGGACGAAAGUCUGACGGAGCAACGCCGCGUGAGUGAUGAAGGUUUUCGGAUCGUAAAACUCUGUUGUUAGGGAAGAACAAGUACCGUUCGAAUAGGGCGGCACCUUGACGGUACCUAACCAGAAAGCCACGGCUAACUACGUGCCAGCAGCCGCGGUAAUACGUAGGUGGCAAGCGUUGUCCGGAAUUAUUGGGCGUAAAGCGCGCGCAGGCGGUUUCUUAA
rnacentral:rRNA from 1 species